AAAAUCCGUCGACUUUAAAAAUCGUGAGGGUUCAAGUCCCUCUAUCCCCAAAAGGACCUAUUUACUCCCAA
rnacentral:tRNA from 1 species